GGCGCCUACGGGGGGCAGCAGUGAGGAAUAUUGGUCAAUGGCCGAGAGGCUGAACCAGCCAAGUCGCGUGAGGGAAGACGGCCCUACGGGUUGUAAACCUCUUUUGUCGGGGAGCAAAGCGAGUCACGUGUGACUCAUUGAGAGUACCCGAAGAAAAAGCAUCGGCUAACUCCGUGCCAGCAGCCGCGGUAAUACGGAGGAUGCGAGCGUUAUCCGGAUUUACUGGGUGUAAAGGGAGCGUAGACGGCAGCGCAAGUCUGGAGUGAAAUGCCGGGGCCCAACCCCGG
rnacentral:rRNA from 1 species